rnacentral:rRNA from 1 species
UACGGGGGGGGGCAAGCGUUGUUCGGACUUCCUGGGCGUAAAGGGCUCGUAGGCGGCCAACUAAGUCCGACGUGAAAUCCCCAGGCUCAACCUGGGAACUGCGUCUGAUACUGGAUGGCUUGAAUCCGGGAGAGGGAUGCAGAAUUCCAGGUGUAGCGGUGAAAUGCGUAGAUAUCUGGAGGAAUACCGGUGGCGAAGGCGGCAUCCUGGACCGGCAUUGACGCUGAGGAGCGAAAGCCAGGGGAGCAAACGGG